ACUUAUAUAGUUUAAAUAAAAACCUCUCAUUUUCAAUGAGAAAAUAGAAAUUUCUUAUAAGUU
rnacentral:tRNA from 1 species